UGGGGAAUAUUGCACAAUGGGGGAAACCCUGAUGCAGCGACGCCGCGUGAGUGAAGAAGUAUUUCGGUAUGUAAAGCUCUAUCAGCAGGGAAGAAAAUGACGGUACCUGAGUAAGAAGCCCCGGCUAACUACGUGCCAGCAGCCGCGGUAAUACGUAGGGGGCAAGCGUUAUCCGGAUUUACUGGGUGUAAAGGGAGCGUAGACGGGAUGGCAAGUCAGAUGUGAAAGGCAUGGGCUUAACCUGUGGACUGCAUUUGAAACUGUCAGCCUGGAGUGCCGGAGAGGUAAGCGGAAUUCCUAGUGUAGCGGUGAAAUGCGUAGAUAUUAGGAGGAACACCAGUGGCGAAGGCGGCUUACUGGACGGUAACUGACGUUGAGGCUCGAAAGCGUGGGGAGCAAACA
rnacentral:rRNA from 1 species